rnacentral:rRNA from 1 species
AUUGAACGCUGGCGGAAUGCUUUACACAUGCAAGUCGAACGGCAGCACGGGUGCUUGCACCUGGUGGCGAGUGGCGAACGGGUGAGUAACAUAUCGGAACGUACCCAGUAAUGGGGGAUAACCAACCGAAAGGUUAGCUAAUACCGCAUACGCCCUGAGGGGGAAAGCGGGGGAUCGAAAGACCUCGCGUUAUUGGAGCGGCCGAUAUCUGAUUAGCUAGUUGGUGAGGUAAAGGCUCACCAAGGCGACGAGCAGUAGCAGGUCUGAGAGGAUGAUCUGCCACACUGGAACUGAGACGCGGUCCAGACUCCUACGGGAGGCAGCAGUGGGGAAUUUUGGACAAUGGGGAAACCCAGAUCCAGCCAUUCCGCGUGAGUGAAGAAGGCCUUCGGGUUGUAAAGCUCUUUCGGCAGGGAAGAAACGGUUCUGGAUAAUACCCGGAGCUAAUGACGGUACCUGAAGAAGAAGCACCGGCUAACUACGUGCCAGCCGCCGCGGUAA